GGAAGCCAGGAGUGCGGGGUGAAGGUCAUAGGGCACAGCCAAAGUUUCUCCUUUCCGGUAUAAAGCGGUGUGCCGGGGUCCCGUUUACUUCUUCCUCAGGCUGUGGGGGUUCCUACGACCCUAAAGUGCCAGCAGCCAGCCCUCCGCCCCCAGUGAAUCCAGACGUCCAUUCCGAGUCGGGCUCACCUCUAAAGACUCAUGCUGCCUGAGGAAGAAGCCUGGAAGAGGGAGGAAGAAGAAAAAAAAAAAGAAGUCAGGAAUGGCUCUCUCUCAGAUAUCUCUCAUGUACAUGUGAUCAAAAAAUUACAACUAGAAGCAAACACUGGUAGAGGAGAAGUAUUCCACACAUUGAUGUUGGGAAGAUAUGAAAGGAAUGAAAUGAAACAUUUUUAUCUCAGGUUAAUCCAGGAAAAUAUAUAUGAAUUUGAUCCUCAGCAGAGAGAUGCAGUAAGAAAUUACAAAGGAAUGCCCAUAACCCAUAACAAAUAUUUCACUCAUAUGAGAGAUCAACAUGGUAGAAGUGUUACAGGAAUCCAGUCUGCUGAAAAUAGGUGUGCCUUAAGCUUACAGGACAACCCGCAUAUUUCUAAAAGUGAAGAGAAAAUUGAGGAAAUUCAUCAAGCCGAGAAGAGUAUCAGCAGUAGUGGCUCAUUUCUACAACUUCAAGAAAUUUCUUCUAGUGUCCAAACCAACGUUUUGAAUCUAUAUGGGGAUGAUUUUAUGCAUCAUUCAGUACUGACACAAGACCAGAGGGCAUCCAGGGAAAGACCUUACCAAUGUAAUGAGGGUGACAAAACCUUUCUUCAGGGAACAUACUCGAAAAGACAUCAGAGCAACAGUACAGGAGAGAAAUUGCAUAAAUGUGAUAUAUGUGAAAGAGUCUUUUCUCGGAAUUCAUACCUUGCAGUUCAUCAGAGUAUUCAUAAUGGAAAGAAACCUUACCAAUGUAAUGAAUGUGGCAGGGUCUUUAGUCAAAGAACAAAACUUGCAAGGCAUCAGAGAAUUCACAUUGGAGAAGAACCUUACAAAUGUAAAGAGUGUGGGAAAUCCUUUCAUUCUGGCUCCCACCUUGCAGAACAUUAGAGAACCCAUACAGGAGCAAAACCACAUCCAUGUCAUGUCUGUGGGAAAUUCUUUUGUCGUCGUUACCACCUUUCUGUUCAUCAGAGAAUUCAUGCCAGAGAGAAACCUUACAAAUGUUCUGCGUGUGGCAAAACCUUUGGUCAUGGCUCACUUCUCAGGCGGCAUCAGAUAAGCUCUACAGGAAAGAUACAUGAGUGUGACGUAUGUGGCAAGGUCUCUAGUCAAAAGACAACCCUUGAAAACAGAGAAUUCACACUGGAGAGACUCCUUAUAAAUGUCAUGUGUGCGGCAAGGUCUUUGGUUAUAAUUCAAAGCUUGAGCGACAUCAGAGAAUUCCCACUGGAGGGAAACCUUACCCAUGCAGUGAGUGUGGCAAGCGCUUUAAUCAGGAAACAACUCUUUUAACUCAUCAGAGAAGUCAUACUAGAGAGAAGCCUUACACAUGUCCUGACUGUGGCAAGGACUUUAGUCAUAAGACAACCCUCUUAACUUGUCAGAGAAUUCAUACUGGAGAGAAGCCUUACAAACGUAAUGAGGGUCACAAGGUCUUCAGUCGUGGUUCAAGCCUUUCAAGACAUCAUAGAAUUCAUGCUGGAGGGAAACCUUACGAAUGUCGUGAGUGUGACAAGGUCUUUAGUCGAAAGGCAACUCUUGCAAGUCACCAGAAAACUCACCAUGGAGAGAAACCUUUCAAAAAGGAUGCGUGUUGAACAUGGAAAAGCCUUGAACUGACAUGGACGAUCACUGCACAUCAAGUAGUAAGUACAGAGGGAAAACCACAGUAAUGUGGUCUCUGUGAGGAAGUCUUCCUUCAAAAUCGACAGUUUAAAUUCCGGGGAGAUCCAUAGCGGGAGAAACCAUGCAAAGGUCGUGAGGAUGGUAAAGCCUCACUUAGCCUCAGGUAAUCCCUACUGGACAGAAACUGUAGAAAUGUAGUGAAUGUCUCCAAGAAUUGAGUCAAACUUCGUACCUUCAGGUCGUCUAGUGACUUCGUGCUGGAGAGAAACCCAACAAACGUGUAAUGAGUGUGGAAAAUCCUUCCGUGUCGACUAGGGUUAACUUACUGUCAGGUAAUCCGUGUUUCUGAGGGACUUUAUGCAGCAGAGCUAUCAACACAUGUCCCCAUCUUAGCCUCAUUGGUGAAGUCAUACUGGAGAGAAAUGAAGGACAUGUAUUCACUAUGAUGAGGCCUUUAGACAAGGAAUUAGUUCACCAAGUAAUCUAUUCUGGAGAUGACCACGUAAAUGCCAUGGAUGGGAAAAGCCUUUACCCCUCACCACUCAUGAGAUGAUCCGUGUUGCUGAGUGUGGCAAAGCCUUUGGGUUGUGUCUUAAACUGAGUGUUCACCCACUACGUCAUCUUUAAAAUGGAAUAAUUAUGGGAACGUUGCAAAUUAGUGCUCACUCGUCACUAGGUACCACAGUCUUUAUCCUGUAGAGAAACCACAUGGAAGCAAUGGCUUCGGAGGGAUUUCGCCCCAAGAUUACAGGUUGGAGAACAUGCUGGAACAAUACUGUAUCAUGCAAUGGAUGUGGCAAGAGCUUUACCUUCAGUUCAAGGACUGGGAGAAAGCAGGAAGUCCCUGUUGAAGAAGAGCCGUGGAAAUGUACGGCAGAGACUUUAUCCAGGCCUCCCAGAGCCCCGGACUUCAGAAUAGACAUUUUUGAGAGAAACCACACAAAGCAAUAAGUGUGGUAAGGCUUGUUCCUCUGGAACAUUGAAGAUUUAUGUUGGAGAACAAGCUUUCAAACGUAAUGGAUGGUAGGCUUGUUCCCAUGGAACAUUGAAAAUUUAUGUUGGAGAACAAGCUUUCAAACGUAAUGAAUGGUGUAAAAGUUUGCAUCAGAUGCCCACACCGCGGUCUAACGAGAUAAUUCAUAUGGGUCAGUGUAUCCACACGCCGAAUAUGGAAACACUUUGAAGAAACUGUGUGUCCUCAGGGGUCCCCACAGAACUUGUAUUUCUCAGCAUCUUCACAAAUGACGUCCAUUUGGCGAUUUUUUUUUUUUUUUGAGCAAUCCUUAGAUCACACAUCAAAGAAUGCAUAUUAGGAGUAAAUAAAUCCAAGGUAACACAUACCGCAGAUUCAUUACAAGGCACAACGUGUUACACAUUAGGACGUGGUGUGUAUAUGUGCGGAAACGGGACGUGUUUGGAAAUGGCCCGUUCUCUUCACCGUGUGAGUAUUCAGUUAUUUUCUGUUUUUUGCUUUUUAGGGCCACACUCAUGGCACAGGCAAGGUCCCAGGCUAGGGGUCGAAUCAGAGCUGCGGCUGCCAGCCUACCCCACAGCCACAGCUAUGCGGGAUCCUUAACCCACUGAGCGAGGCCAGGGAUCGAACCCGCCGCAACCUUAUGGAUCCCAGUUAGGUUCAUUAUCUGCUGAGCCAUGAAGGGAACUCCUGAAUUUUCUUGGAAAAGGUACAUUUUUCUGUCUUUCACCAUGCAGUUUGAAGUCUGUUGAUCGUAUGCCUUCAUUACAGGCCUUUGGUGAUGGUCUCUGGGAAGGAGUCAGUGAAAUGGGUGGGUGCAUUCACAUCCACGUUCCCUGGGAAAACAGGGACCCUGAAUUGUCAAAUAUGAUGGUGUGUGGCUGAGUGCAUCAGGAGGGGUAAAGAGUGAUGGGAAACUGGGACAUGAUUCAUCAAACUCGUUAUGUUCAGGGGUUCAGGGUGCCCUUCCAGAGGUAGGUCACACUGGGUUAUAGGACAGACUGCUUUACCACCUGACCUUAAACAGAGUUGGCAGGACGUUAAGGGGCCGGGCUUGUCAUGGGAGGAGCAUGAAAAGUUACUAGGGCCUGAGUUUUCAGCAGAAAUGAUGCAGGGCGGAAGUUGGUCACGGUCCUCAUUGGUUGGCAGUAGCAGGUGUAUAGAUGUGUGUUUAAAGGAAAAUGAGUCUUUUGGUUUGUAUUUUUGUUUUCGGCUAUGCCUGAGACCCGUGGAAGUUCUAGGGCCCAGGGUCACACCCAAGGCACAGGUGUGACCCUGCUGGAUCCUCAACCCACUACCACUUCAGGGAAUGCCCAGAAAAUUAGUCGUAUUCUUGGAAAUCGAAGAGAGAGUAGUUAUCUAGAGGAACAUUGAAAAUAAUCCAAAUAGUAUGUGUAGUCACAUUUAACUGCUGCCAUUUCUUUGUGCUGCCAUUUUUUAUCAAGAAUGUACUCUUCUGUUUUAAUAAUACAGUAUAGUCGCUUUUGUCAUAACCCUGGGUGACGCCUCUCAACACUCUUUUAACCCCAUCUUGGUGUUUCACAGCCAAGGAUUUUCUUCAUGCUAAUGAUUUAUUACAAUUCUUUCCCUAUAGCAUACAAACCUUCCAUUGUACAAUGUAGUUGUUUAAAAUGCUUGUAAAAGUUAAUAUAUGGAUAUGUUUAUGAGGUAUAACUAAGGAACUUACUAGAAGAGCAAUUAGCCAAAGACUUUUAAAUUUUCAAUUUCAAAUUAUGAUGUUAAGCCGUAAGUCACAUUAGUUUUCUACUGUAAUAAAAAAAUUUUUUACGCAAUUUUCCUAUAGUGUUUUUUCCUUCCACACAGUUUUCUUCUUUAUGCCAAAAGAUAUAUAAAUCAGUGUGUUGUUUUGGGUUUCCUGGGACAUGAACACUCAAAUAAGUCAGAGAUGUCCAAAGCAGAUGUUGUGUAAACAGAAAGAGUUCUUAGAGCUCCCAUCGUGGCACAGCGGAAACGAAUCCGAGGAGGAACCAUGAGGUUGUGGGUUCGAUCCCUGGCCUCG